ACAAACUUGGUCAUUUAGAGGAAGUAAAAGUCGUAACAAGGUUUCCGUAGGUGAACCUGCGGAAGGAUCAUUAACACGUAUCCACGUAUCAACCCCUCGUGCACAACGAAAACUGUACCCCUUGGUCAGUCUAGUCUAGCUGGUUCGUCAUGGUCCCAACGAUGGCGGUUCCUCCCUUCUUUCGAGGGGGGAGUGAGCUGGGGAUCUUGAGCCACUAGGCGCUUUGACGGCUGACUGGCAUUUUCCCAUCGCUUUGAGAAUGCCUAAUUGUUUUUAACCCCUUUGUACUUCUUUGUACUGAACCACAUUCUUUCGAAGCCCGAAAGGGCGACGAAGAGAACGUUUACGAAACGAAAGAACAACUCUUAGCAACGGAUAUCUUGGUUCCCGCAUCGAUGAAGAACGCAGC
rnacentral:misc_RNA from 1 species